rnacentral:rRNA from 1 species
GAUGAACGCUAGCGGCAGGCUUAAUACAUGCAAGUCGAGGGGCAGCACGAAUAGCAAUAUUUGGUGGCGACCGGCGCACGGGUGCGUAACACGUAUACAACCUACCUAUAACAGGGGGGAUAGCCCUUUCGAAAGAGAGAUUAAUACCCCCGUAAUAAAUUGAGUGGCAUCACUUGAUUUUGAAAGCUACGGCGGUUAUAGAUGGGUAUGCGUCUGAUUAGCUAGUUGGUGAGGUAACGGCUCACCAAGGCGACGAUCAGUAGGGGAUCUGAGAGGACUAACCCCACACUGGUACUGAGACACGGACCAGACUCCUACGGGAGGCAGCAGUAAGGAAUAUUGGUCAAUGGAGGCAACUCUGAACCAG